rnacentral:lncRNA from 1 species
UCCUCUUGAUGGUAUCAGAGCUUUAUUUUAUCCAUCUUGUGUGUUUAAGUCUAUCUUGUUGCUAGAUCCUACCCACAACUUAGAAUCAAUUGAGAAAGCCUAAAUAGCUGUCAAAAUAUCUUUGCUUAUAACCGGACUACGAUUGUCAACAGACGUAAGGUGUAAUUGGGCAAGAAGUCCCUAAAGAAACACUGAAAAGGUGAGACAAUCUAAGAAAGAAAUAAGCAAGGGGAAAUCUGAUGGUCAGAAAGGCUUAAGGUUGAUGUCUGAAAAAUGGGAAGAGUCUAUACAACAAUGGUAUAUUAACUCACACACCUCUAAGAUAGAUUACCUUGACCUUGCCGAAAGCAAGAACCCAACUCGG